rnacentral:rRNA from 1 species
GCUACUAAGGUUUAGGUUGAAACAAGGCUUAGAUAUCCUUUUAUUCUUUAUUUUAAAUUUAAAUUUUAAUUUGCCAGGGUACUACGAGCAAAAGAAGCUUAAAACUCAAAGGAAUUGGCGGUGCAUCAUAUUUUGUUAGGGGAACUUGGCGUUUCAUCCGAUGGUCCACGAAGUACCUCACUUUUCUUGGUGAUCAGGUUGUGUAUGGCCGUUGUAAUCUACAUUCUUGAGAUAAUAGAAGUAGGUGUAGUAGUUUUUACGAAAAUUAUGAAAAGUACAAAAUAGCUUUAUGAAAUAUUAGCAUGUAUUUUUUAGAGAUAAGCUGGUUGUGCUAUUAAUUCAGGUCGUUAUGCACCUUAUGGAAAAGGAUUAGCUGUGUUACAAUGCAUAAUUAGCCUAGUUCAGAUUUUUGUGUGAAAUUUUCAAAAUGAAGGAGGACUUGACAGUAAACACUUUUAGAGAGGGGUGUUGGAUAAGCAUUGUUGUGCGUACAAAUAGCCCGUCGCCCCCGGCGAAAUCUGGGGU